rnacentral:rRNA from 1 species
UACGAAGGGGGCUAGCGUUGCUCGGAAUCACUGGGCGUAAAGCGCACGUAGGCGGAUUGUUAAGUCGGAGGUGAAAUCCUGGAGCUCAACUCCAGAACUGCCUUCGAUACUGGCGAUCUUGGAGUCCGGGAGAGGUGAGUGGAACUCCGAGUGUAGAGGUGAAAUUCGUAGAUAUUCGGAAGAACACCAGUGGCGAAGGCGGCUCACUGGCCCGGUACUGACGCUGAGGUGGCGAAAAGCG